rnacentral:rRNA from 1 species
GACGAACGCUGGCGGCGUGCUUAACACAUGCAAGUCGAACGGAAAGGCCCUGCUUUUGUGGGGUGCUCGAGUGGCGAACGGGUGAGUAACACGUGAGUAACCUGCCCUUUACUUUGGGAUAACUUCAGGAAACUGGGGCUAAUACCGGAUAGGAGCUCCUGCUGCAUGGUGGGGGUUGGAAAGUUUCGGCGGUUGGGGAUGGACUCGCGGGUUAUCAGCUUGUUGGUGGGGUAGUGGCUUACCAAGGCUUUGACGGGUAGUCGGCCUGAGAGGGUGACCGGCCACAUUGGGACUGAGAUACGGCCCAGACUCGUACGGGAGGCAGCAGUGGGGAAUAUUGCACAGUGGGCGGAAGCCUGAUGCAGCAACGCCGCGUGCGGGAUGACGGCCUUCGGGUUGUAAACCGCUUUCGCCUGUGACGAAGCGUGAGUGACGGUAAUGGGUAAAGAAGCACCGGCUAACUACGUG